rnacentral:misc_RNA from 1 species
CAACAGGGAUUGCCUCAGUAACGGCGAGUGAAGCGGCAACAGCUCAAAUUUGAAAUCUGGCUCUCGGGCCCGAGUUGUAAUUUGUAGAGGAUGCUUUUGGUGAGGUGCCUUCCGAGUUCCCUGGAACGGGACGCCAUAGAGGGUGAGAGCCCCGUCUGGUUGGACGCCGAACCUCUGUAAAGCUCCUUCGACGAGUCGAGUAGUUUGGGAAUGCUGCUCUAAAUGGGAGGUAUAUGUCUUCUAAAGCUAAAUACCGGCCAGAGACCGAUAGCGCACAAGUAGAGUGAUCGAAAGAUGAAAAGAACUUUGAAAAGAGAGUUAAACAGUACGUGAAAUUGUUGAAAGGGAAGCGCUUGUGACCAGACUUGGGCUUGGUUGAUCAUCCGGGGUUCUCCCCGGUGCACUCUUCCGGCCCAGGCCAGCAUCAGUUCGCCCUGGGGGACAAAGGCUUCGGGAACGUGGCUCUCUCCGGGGAGUGUUA